CACACACACACACACACACACACACAAACGCACACAGGCAUACACUCUCUCUCUCACAGUGGAGGAAUAUUCUCCCCUCGGCGGACUAAAGAAGAGAAGAACCCUGGAUCAACUAAAGAAAACAAGCUUUCUGAGCGAGGCCGAUCGCAGAAACUGUGAACAGAGCCGUGCACGCCCGGAGAAGAUGGGUCACGCUCGCACGCCUCCGCCAUUGAUAGGCGUUUCCUGGGAGAAGCAGCAGAGCCGGGCGGAUGGUCUGGCGCAAGCACGUUUUUCAAAACUGAGUCCUGAAGCAGUUGAACUUCUCAUCGACCUCCAGAGGAAACUUCGUCAGAUAGAUUCAGAACCAGUCAGAGGGCGGAGCAGAGGAUCUCCACCCACACCGCCGGACCUGAUAGAGGUCUUCCAGAGAGCCACGUUCACCUCCCAGUUCCUAAAGAUUGAACCAGAACAAAAGAGGAACAUGGAUCAUGCUCAGAGGUUUUCCCAACAACUGGAAGCCUUGAAAAAGAGAACACCCAUGGAGGCGUUAUCAACCAGCGGAGUCCCAGCUGCCGUGUGCAUCGUGUUGGAGAUCGUCAUCGGAGGACUGGCGGGGCUUCCUCUGGUUGCUGCCGCAGCAGCAGCAGCUGCAGCUGCAGUAGGAGUAGCAGCAGGAGCUCUGGGAGGAGUCAUAGGAACAGUAGCAGGAGCGCUAGGAGAAGCAGCGGGAGCAGCAGUAACAGGACCAUUAGGAGCAGUAGCAGUAUCAGAUGUAGCAGCAGCAGCAGAGCAGCAGGAGCAGCAGCAGGAGUUUUAGGGGCAGCAGUGGUAGUUGGAGCAGCAGCAGGAGAAGCAGCAGCAAUAGACAUUCUUCAGUAGGAGCAGUACUAGAGGUAAUGGUAGCAGCAGUAGAAGUAAUAGUAGCAGCAGUAGCAGGAUUAGGAGGAGGAGCAGGCGGAGCAACAGCAGCAGAAGCAGCAUUGGCAGAAUUAGGAAGAAGAAAAGAAAGAGCAUCAGCUUCAAGAUUAAGAAGAGGAGAAGGAGAAGCAGCAGGAGCAGGAUAAUCUCUGGACAGGGAGGAACAUGUCAGAGAGCAGCAGCAGCAGGAGGAGAAGCAGCAGAUCUUCAUCAGGAACUCCAGAACAUUAGCAGAGAUGACUUGUGGAGACGUGGAGAAACUGGUGAAGGAGAUCAUUGAACCCAUGAAGAACGACUUGGAGGAAAUGUACACCACAUGUUUACAUCGGGAGGAGAACCAGACUAAAGACCUGGAGGAGAAACAGAGUGAACUCUGGUGAAGAUGAUCCAGGAUCUGAUCCAGGAUGUGAUCCAGGUCGUUCCACGCAGGAAGAGAGACAGAACUGAACAGACGCCACGAUCCGCUCAGCUGAUCAGAGCGACAGGGUUCUAGAUCACUUCUUCCUGAUGAAGAAGGAACUGAUGAAGAUCAGAUAGAGUGAAACUUCUGGGCCACAUUGUCCUCUGGCUCUGCUAACUGCUAGCUGUACUGUUAGCUAUGCUCUAGCUGUACUGUUAGCUGUUAGCUCUGUUCUAGCUGUGUUGUUAGCUGUUCUGCUGUGUUCUAGCUGAAUUGUUGUUAGUUGUUCUUCUAUGUUCUAGCUGCAUCGUCAGCUGUUAGCUAUGUGCUAGUGGUUUUGUUAAGCCAGGUUUACACUUGCGUGAUUCUGUGGCACGCAUUGGCAUGAAUCGAGUCGCAAACCACUCGUAAAGUGGCGUGACGUGUGCGUAAACCCAUCGUGACUGCGUGCUAUGUUGGGACGAGAAUUUUGACAUGUUCAAAAUUUUGGUCACGACAAAACAUCGCGACCGGGCCGUGAACUAUGCGCCAACUGUUCGUGAACUCGUCGUGAACGUGUCCGGACAGUGCGGGAGGAUGCGUGCCAGUCGUGGCAUGGCACGCACUGCCACACACUGCAACGAAUAGUUCACAAACUACCCACGUCGAAUUGCGCAACCACGUCGUGCCAAUGCGGGAAGCACGUAAACUAUGCGUGAAUGCGUCAUGCCAGUUCAUGACACUGACGGGCGCGUAUUCGUGCGCAUUCGUGAACAAUUCAUGCACUUUUCGUCAACAGUGUGGGAGGCUGCCAGUUUGUGACUCCAGAUUGGCACGCCUUGCCACGACAACAUUGUGGCAAAAAGCCGUGCAAGUGUGAACCUACGCUUAGCUUUUGUGCUAUGUUGUAGCUGUACUGUUAGCUGUUAGCUGUGUUCUAGCUGUACUGUUAGCUGUUAGCUCUGUUCUAGCUGUACUGUUAGCUGUUAGCUCUGUUCUAGCUGCAUUGCUCGUUCUGCCAGGUUAGCCUUUUUAUUGUUUCUGAAGAAAACCAACGAUCCACCCAAAGGCGGAGUCCGCCACGGAAUCCCAGAAGGCGCCGACCUGCCGCUGAGGGUAGAGACCCGGAGAACACACGGAACAACAGCACCGCAGACAUGGAGACCAGACGAUCCGAACCGAGGAACACAGACCAGAGAACCCCAACAGCUCAGAGCACCAGGGGACUGGACUCCAUCAGGGAGGGGCCUCUGUCACGCUGUUUUCCCAAGUCCAGAGUAAGGAGGUGCAUGUGGCAUCAGAGGAACAGUUGGUGUCGUUUGCCGUCACGUCCUCGUCGUUGGCGUUGAACUUCAGGGACUCGUCAGUCUGGAUCUCUUCCCUCCUCAGUCACAGCUUCAGGUUUUUAAAUGUUUUUCCACAUUUCCUGCCGUGGAGGGACGAGAAAACGCCACAGCAGCACUUUGCACCGCGUCGUCCUGCUCCUCCGGGGUGAGACGCCCACAAGCGUGGCUGGAAAGACGUCCAUCUGCCCUGCAGGACAAGACGUCCAUCUGUCCUGCAGGACAAGACGUCCAUCUGUCCUGCAGGACAAGACGUCCAUCUGUCCUGCAGGACAAGACAAGAAACACUGGACAAAGUCUCCUACAGCAGGAGGAACACAGUCAGAAUGUGUGGUGCUUCGACUGUGCUGACCACUCUGUCAGACUUCUAUGAUUCUGUCCUUCGGUCUGGGAUCACCGCCGUCCCGGGUCCAGGUCUGAAGACGGUCCUGACAGGCAGGAGCUGAACCUGAAAUUGUGAACUCUGCUGGAACCGGGCCAGAAGAACCAGGAGAACCAGCUGACACUCGUCUCAGUCUCCAGUGAUCAGAUUCCCUGGAACCGCUGACGUUCUGCUGAUUAGCAGGAACUUCUCAGGUGUGGAACGUGUUGAAACAGGAGCUGUGAGGGCGAGUCAGAGAACCUCAGGGGGAUUCUGUGGAACAACACACUAAAAAACAACCCGAUAAAGAUUAUUUUUUAACCCAACACUGGUUAAAUAUUGGACAGAACACAUGCUGGGUUAGUUUGACCCAACAAGUUGGGUUGGUUUCCUUAAAGGUGCAUUAAGGAGUUUUUCAACUUUAAAAAUACUUAUUUUCCACCAGAAAUAUGUUACAUACAUUCAAUAAUGUGUCCAAUGUGCCCUGACAUUUUCAUUGUAAGCACCGCUAACAGCGCUAAACUGUCACUUGAAAGUCACAGUGCCGGUCCGGCUCCAGAAUUGUUUUGGAGAGAAUUUGAGACGAUGUGACGUAAUGCGCCUCCUGCUGGCCUGAUAUCCUUAGGUUUCGUUUUGUCCGCCAUGACUCCGCCAGACGCUCAGCAGCAACAACUGAGCAGUGCUGAGGAUGGAGC